rnacentral:rRNA from 1 species
GACGACGGGUAGCCGGCCUGAGAGGGCGACCGGCCACACUGGGACUGAGACACGGCCCCAGACUCCUACGGGAGGCAGCAGUGGGGAAUAUUGCACAAUGGGCGAAAGCCUGAUGCAGCGACGCCGCGUGAGGGAUGACGGCCUUCGGGUUGUAAACCUCUUUCAGCAGGGAAGAAGCGAAAGUGACGGUACCUGCAGAAGAAGCGCCGGCUAACUACGUGCCAGCAGCCGCGGUAAUACGUAGGGCGCGAGCGUUGUCCGGAAUUAUUGGGCGUAAAGAGCUCGUAGGCGGCUUGUCGCGUCGGUUGUGAAAGCCCGGGGCUUAACCCCGGGUCUGCAGUCGAUACGGGCAGGCUAGAGUUCGGUAGGGGAGAUCGGAAUUCCUGGUGUAGCGGUGAAAUGCGCAGAUAUCAGGAGGAACACCGGUGGCGAAGGCGGAUCUCUGGGCCGAUACUGACGCUGAGGAGCGAAAGCGUGGGGAGCGAACAGGAUUAGAUACCCUGGUAGUCCACGCCGUAAACGGUGGGCACUAGGUGUGGGCGACAUUCCACGUCGUCCGUGCCGCAGCUAACGCAUUAAGUGCCCCGCCUGGGGAGUACGGCCGCAAGGCUAAAACUCAAAGGAAUUGACGGGGGCCCGCACAAGCGGCGGAGCAUGUGGCUUAAUUCGACGCAACGCGAAGAACCUUACCAAGGCUUGACAUACACCGGAAACGUCCAGAGAUGGGCGCCCCCUAGUGGUCGGUGUACAG